rnacentral:rRNA from 1 species
GAUGAACGCUGGCGGCGUGCCUAAUACAUGCAAGUCGAGCGAACGGACGAGAAGCUUGCUUCUCUGAUGUUAGCGGCGGACGGGUGAGUAACACGUGGAUAACCUACCUAUAAGACUGGGAUAACUUCGGGAAACCGGUGCUAAUACCGGAUAAUAUUUUGAACCGCAUGGUUCAAAAGUGAAAGACGGUCUUGCUGUCACUUAUAGAUGGAUCCGCGCUGCAUUAGCUAGUUGGUAAGGUAACGGCUUACCAAGGCAACGAUGCAUAGCCGACCUGAGAGGGUGAUCGGCCACACUGGAACUGAGACACGGUCCAGACUCCUACGGUAGGCAGCAGUAGGGAAUCUUCCGCGAUGGGCGAGUGCCUGAUGGUGCAACGCCGCGUGAGUGAUGAAGGUCUUCGGAUCGUAAAGCUCUGUUAUUAGGGAAGUACAUAUGUGUAAGUAACUGUGCACAUCUUGACGGUACCUAAUCAGAAAGCCACGGCUAACUACGUG